UUGGGUUUUGAAAGCUCUAGUGCGUUAUAAUUUUGUUUACAAAUAUAAAGUUGGAUUUUAAAUGUGAAAUGCAAAAUGCAAUUGUGUUCUUUACUUUAUAUGAUUCUAUUUUAGGUGGGUUCUAUGAUUCAGCAGUUUCUGAAAAAAUGGUAUUCAUAUUAUCGAUAGCCGUUUGGAUAGUAAUUGUUGUGAUAAUUAUCAUGUGUACCUGUUGCUGCUUCUGUUGUUACAAAAGGGGCUUAAAACAGGAUCAAAAAUCAAUUCCAAAGAAUGACUAGCAAGAAGAGCAAGCUCAGUACCAAGGUCAAAAUACUAGAAAUGAGAUUUCUGACCAUGAACACGCUUACGAGAAACCUCGCCAACCGACCAAUGAAAUUUCACUAAACCAUGACUUAGAAUUAUCAGCGUAUGAGGAGGUCAAGGAAAACCAAAUUGAAGAGUAUCAGAAAAUUGAUUAAGGUGUGUAUUUAAUACCAGUCUUUCAACAACACCCUCUUCGUCUGUUGGAGCUGGGAAUUAAGAGUGUGCAUAUACAUAGACUACGGGUCCACUAUACGCAUGGAAAACAACAUGGCCAGGUUUUUUUGCAUCCGUUUGUAUUCUAUCUCAUUUUUGUUGAUUGAAGUUUCGAGAAGAACAGAAAUCAAGAAUUAGUUGACUGUUUAUUCACAUAUAUAUUGGAAGACAAAAUGUAUACAUAAAUAUAUAGUGAAGAGUUUUAAGGAACGCUACAAUAUUAUUUUGUUUAAAGUCUUGAAAUAGUUUUAUUGUUGUUAUAUAGUACAUUGUACAUAAUGUUAUGAGUAUAUUUAUUAAAUUAUUCUUGUCUAUAUUUAAGUAGCUGAUAAAAAUUUCAUUUUAAUAAAAAAAUUAAAAGGUGUUCAAUGG
rnacentral:sRNA from 1 species